rnacentral:misc_RNA from 1 species
AAGUCGUAACAAGGUAUCCGUAGGUGAACCUGCGGAUGGAUCAUUAUGGAUGGAUGGAUAGGAUGUGAGUGGUUAUUAAUAGUUUGAGUGGUGUUGGUUGGGAUGCUUGCAGGCCAGCCAACAUUGCCUCACGUUAAACUCUAUAAAUCUAAACAACAAUUACAACAAAAAACAACUUUUAGCAACGGAUCUCUUGGCUCUC